rnacentral:rRNA from 1 species
CAUCACUACGCUAGAUGCAUAUCAAUAAGCGGAGGAAAAGAAACUAACAAGGAUUCCCUUAGUAACGGCGAGUGAAGCGGGAAGAGCUCAAAUUUGAAAUCUUCAAGGUUUUACCUUGGCGAAUUGUAGUUUAAAGAAGUGUUUUCUGUUGGAGUUUUGGUAAAAGUUCUUUGGAAUAGGACAUCAUAGAGGGUGAGAAUCCCGUAUUUGACCAUUACUUUCCAGCUGUGUGAUACACUUUCAAAGAGUCGGAUUGUUUGGGAAUGCAGUCCAAAAUGGGUGGUAAAUUUCAUCUAAAGCUAAAUAUUGGCGAGAGACCGAUAGCGAACAAGUACCGUGAGGGAAAGAUGAAAAGAACUUUGAAAAGAGAGUUAAACAGUACGUGAAAUUGUCAAAAGGGAAGCGUUUGACACCAGUGUUGUUUAGUUGAAAAUCAAUUCAUGAAUGUUUGAUUUUAAGUAGUAUUGACUUCAUCAGCUUGCUGCUUUCUUUUCAGGAAUUAUUGAAUGCACUUUUCAGUUAACAAGUCAACAUCAAUUUCUUUUGUUGUAAAAGGGUAAGAGGAAGGUGGCUUACGUUUCGGCGUAAGUGUUUAUAGCCUUUUACCUCUGCAAUCGGAGAGAUUGAGGACUAGCAGCGUAGACUCCUUCUGGGGUUAGAUACACUUGUGCUAAGCUAUAGCCUUGUAUAGACAACUUGUUGACUAUGCUCAGUCAUGUAGCUUACUCGCUUGUGCUAUUUUACCUACGCUUAGGAUGUUGAUAGUCACAGCGUGUAC